CGAACGGUAACAGGAAGCAGCUUGCUGCUUUGCUGACGAGUGGCGGACGGGUGAGUAAUGUCUGGGAAACUGCCUGAUGGAGGGGGAUAACUACUGGAAACGGUGGCUAAUACCGCAUAACGUCGCAAGACCAAAGAGGGGGACCUUCGGGCCUCUUGCCAUCAGAUGUGCCCAGAUGGGAUUAGCUUGUUGGUGAGGUAACGGCUCACCAAGGCGACGAUCCCUAGCUGGUCUGAGAGGAUGACCAGCCACACUGGAACUGAGACACGGUCCAGACUCCUACGGGAGGCAGCAGUGGGGAAUAUUGCACAAUGGGCGCAAGCCUGAUGCAGCCAUGC
rnacentral:rRNA from 1 species